UGCUCCCUGGCAAUGGGCAAUGAGACACCUUGUUGGUGUUGGCUUUUAUAUCAGUCAGAGGCAUAGCAGAUGGCAGUCCUUUGUUCAUCAUAGCUUGAUGCUUGACAUUAUGGCCAAAGCUAUCUUAUGUUUAGGACUCAUAA